GAUGAACGCUAGCGGCAGGCUUAAUACAUGCAAGUCGAGGGGCAGCAGUUUUGUAGCAAUACAGAAGCUGGCGACCGGCAAACGGGUGCGGAACACGUACGCAACCUUCCUUUAACUGGAAGAUAGCCCACCGAAAGGUGGAUUAAUACUCCAAAACAUAUUGAAGAGGCAUCUCUUUGAUAUUAAAGCUUCGGCGGUUAAAGAUGGGCGUGCGUCGGAUUAGGUAGUUGGCGGGGUAACGGCCCACCAAGCCUUCGAUCAGUAGCUGAUGUGAGAGCAUGAUCAGCCACACGGGCACUGAGACACGGGCCCGACUCCUACGGGAGGCAGCAGUAAGGAAUAUUGGUCAAUGGACGCAAGUCUGAACCAGCCAUGCCGCGUGGAGGAUGAAGGCCCUCUGGGUUGUAAACUUCUUUUCUUUGGGAGGAAACCCCUGUUUCUACGGGGACUGACGGUACCAGAGGAAUAAGCACCGGCUAACUCCGUGCCAGCCGCCGCCGUAAUAC
rnacentral:rRNA from 1 species